rnacentral:rRNA from 1 species
GACGAACGCUGGCGGCGUGCUUAACACAUGCAAGUCGAACGAAGAGCGACGGAAGCUUGCUUCUAUCAAUCUUAGUGGCGAACGGGUGAGUAACGCGUAAUCAACCUGCCCUUCAGAGGGGGACAACAGUUGGAAACGACUGCUAAUACCGCAUACGAUCUAACCUCGGCAUCGAGGAUAGAUGAAAGGUGGCCUCUACAUGUAAGCUAUCACUGAAGGAGGGGAUUGCGUCUGAUUAGCUAGUUGGGGGGGUAACGGCCCACCAAGGCGAUGAACAGUAGCCGGUCUGAGAGGAUGAACGGCCAAAUUGGGACUGAGACACGGGCCAGACGACUACGGGAGGCAGCAGUGGGGAAUCUUCCGCAAGAGACGAAAGUCUGACGGAGCAACGCCGCGUGAGUGAUGACGGCCUUCGGGUUGUAAAGCUCUGUUAAUCGGGACGAAAGGCCUUCUUGCGAAUAGUGAGAAGGAUUGACGGUACCGGAAUAGAAAGCCACGGCUAACUACGUG